UACGUAGGUCGCAAGCGUUGUCCGGAUUUACUGGGCGUAAAGAGCGCGCAGGCGGCUGGUCAAGUCCGAUGUGAAAUCUCCCGGCUCAACUGGGAAACUGCAUCGGAAACUGAUCGGCUUGAAGAUGGGAGAGGGUAGCGGAAUUCCCGGUGUAGUGGUGAAAUGCGUAGAUAUCGGGAGGAACACCAGUGGCGAAGGCGACUACCUGGCCCAUUCUUGACGCUGAGGCGCGAAAGCUAGGGGAGCGAACGGG
rnacentral:rRNA from 1 species